rnacentral:tRNA from 1 species
GGAGAGGUGGCAGAGUGGUAAUGCACCGGACUCGAAAUCCGGCGAGCGAUUUUAUAGUUGUGCGCGGGUUCAAAUCCCGUCUUCUCCU